ACGAGCUAGACGCCGUAACGUGUGCGUUUUGACGACUGAAGGAAACUAAGAUCACUGAUUGGUCGGUCAGUGUAUCCACGGUCAGUUGGUCUCGUUCGAGCAUUCACUGAGAACCGGUUUCCCGGGCUUGAGGUUGAAGAUCGGAUGGGAAUAGUUCAUUAAUUGAUCGUAAAUGAGUAGUAAACGUGAACGAGGAAUCGAGAGAAGGUUACAGAGGAGUAAAUCAAUUGGUCACUGGUUAAGUCAGGGUCGUUUCGAUAUCAAACAUUUGCGGAGAAUUUGAAAACCACAAUGUUAAGCCUGUCACUGGAAAAACUUUGACCUUGACCUUCAACUGCAAGGUCAAUUAUUUAUUAUAUCGUGGAAGAACAAAAAGUCAGAGAGGUGCAUUGCGAUCAUACGAAAUUCUCAAGGACUAAAGUAUUUGAUACGAAACGACAUGAAUGAAGAUCUAAAACAAUGAUUCUCAAGACCACAUUCCUUCUUCUGUGUCAUCUAAUUUGAAGAUCCUACUUUUUUAAACACUGCAUGUUUCUUUCACGAAGAUUCCGUGAAACAUUUUCCUCAGAAAAGUUGAUUCGUUGUACGAAAUUAACGAUACCCUGUUAAUCGAAGCGCGACUGUAUGCGUUUCAUUCUGUGCAACAGGUCUUUAAGAUCAGUAUUUCAAUUGCGUAACGGUAUCAAUAGCUGUUUGAGAUAAUUGGAAACAUUGUCACAUGUGAGCUGAACUCGGUUAUGACUAAAAGGAAGCGAGACUUUUAUUCAAAAGAGUACAUUUCGAAAGACGUGACUUGAAUUAACGUCAAAAUUUAGCUGCAGCGAGGAAGGAGUAGAAAAAUUCGAUAAUAAGGAAAAUUUGACAGUCGUGGAAAAUGUUAUUUGAAAAAACUGGAAUUGACAGUCGUGGAAAAUGUUAUUUGAAAAAACUGGAAUUGACAGUUGGUGUCAGAUUAUCACAGAUACACAGAAUGAUUCAUUUUGGCACCAGACACACCUAUUUGUGGGAAACAGAUAAAAAAAAUAA